CCUACGGGUGGCAGCAGUGGGGAAUAUUGGGCAAUGGGCGCAAGCCUGACCCAGCAACGCCGCGUGAAGGAAGAAGGCUUUCGGGUUGUAAACCUCUUUUAAGAGGGAAGAGAAGUACACUGUACCUCUUGCAUAAUCCACGGCUAACUACGUCCCAGCAGCCGCGGUAAUACGUAGGUGGCAAGCGUUCUCCGGAUUUACUGGGUGUAACGGGCGUGCAGACGGGAAGAAAAGUCAGAUGUGAAAUCCCGCGGCUCAACCGCGGAACUGCAUUUGAAACUGUUUUUCUGGAGUACAGGAGAGGUCAUCGGAAUUCGUUGUGUAGCGGUGAAAUGCGUAGAUAUAAGGAAGAACACCAGUGGCGAAGGCGGAUGACUGGACGGCAACUGACGGUGAGGCGCGAAAGCGUGGGGAGCAAACAGGAUUAGAUACCCGUGUAGUC
rnacentral:rRNA from 1 species